AUUGAACGCUGGCGGCAGGCUUAACACAUGCAAGUCGAGCGGGGGAAGGUAGCUUGCUACCGGACCUAGCGGCGGACGGGUGAGUAAUGCUUAGGAAUCUGCCUAUUAGUGGGGGACAACAUCUCGAAAGGGAUGCUAAUACCGCAUACGUCCUACGGGAGAAAGCAGGGGAUCUUCGGACCUUGCGCUAAUAGAUGAGCCUAAGUCGGAUUAGCUAGUUGGUGGGGUAAAGGCCUACCAAGGCGACGAUCUGUAGCGGGUCUGAGAGGAUGAUCCGCCACACUGGGACUGAGACACGGCCCAGACUCCUACGGGAGGCAGCAGUGGGGAAUAUUGGACAAUGGGGGGAACCCUGAUCCAGCCAUGCCGCGUGUGUGAAGAAGGCCUUAUGGUUGUAAAGCACUUUAAGCGAGGAGGAGGCUACUUUAGUUAAUACCUAGAGAUAGUGGACGUUACUCGCAGAAUAAGCACCGGCUAACUCUGUGCCAGCAGCCGCGGUAAUACAGAGGGUGCGAGCGUUAAUCGGAUUUACUGGGCGUAAAGCGUGCGUAGGCGGCUUAUUAAGUCGGAUGUGAAAUCCCCGAGCUUAACUUGGGAAUUGCAUUCGAUACUGGUGAGCUAGAGUAUGGGAGAGGAUGGUAGAAUUCCAGGUGUAGCGG
rnacentral:rRNA from 1 species